GUGGCCUUUCCUUGCAGAGCUGUGUUCCUCCACCCCAGGAAGGGAAGGGCAGGACCAGGUCCUUGGUGUCUGCUAGUUGUCCAGGGGCGCCCACCCGCGAUGUCCUGCUGGUCUCUGCCAUUAUCACCGUCAGCCUUAGCAUCACUCUCGUCCUCUGCGGCCUCUGCCACUGGUGUCAGCGCAAACUGGGCAAACGCUACAAGAACUCCCUGGAGACUGUGGGCACGCCAGACUCAGGGCGUGGGCGCAACGAGAAGAAGACCAUCAA